CUCCCUUACCUGUAGCUUCCCCCAUAAGCCAAGUGAAUUCAUUUCCUUCUCCUACAAGUUGGCUUCCUCAACAAGCCAUUAGACUUUCCCAUUUCCUCUCUUCACCGUAAGCUUCCUCAAGAAGCUAAGAGGAUUUUUCCCUUCCUCAUUCUCUUACACGCCUGUUCCAAAGGAAAAGAAAACAAAAUUUCCUCCUCACCUCUCUUCAUCUAUCGAUUUCCAAAGCACCUGAAGGAGAGAAAAUCUCCUCAAGUCUCCUUCAGUACACGAAGCACCCUUCGGGUUCCCCUCUCCCAAUCGCGCGAUACCUCUCGGUUCUUCAAGCCGAUUCUUCCACUUUGUAAACCUAAGUUUCCACCGAAAGCCUUCAAGGAAACUUCAUCGUCUUUGAGAUUUCGAACUUCUCUUCAUUUCUUGUUGCUGUGUACUUCCGUGGCUGCAAAAGAGACCCAAACAGGAGUUUAUUUUCAAGAUUCAAGGAACUUACUUGUAAAGCCAUGAGGUAUGAAUGAUGAGGCUGUGGAGCUAGGCACUGCUGAGGAGGGAAGGGUUGAUGCUUAGUAUUCCCUGUCGGUUCUGUUUAACGAUGAUGGUUAUAUUUUAUGUUUUAUGAUGGGUCCCAUGUUGGGACGUUUUGUUGGUUGACUUUAAGACAAUAUGUCUUUGGCAUGAUGUAGAUAUUGUGGUAGUAUGAUGGUAAUAGUGUAACUUCUAUAGUGGGGUGAUGGUAACCCCACAUAAGAAGGCUAAACGUAUUUUGGAUAUGUUGUAGGGACGGAGUCCCCUUUUUAUUGGAACUAGUGAUGUUUUAAAUGAAUGAAUGGUGGACUCUGAGAGUCCUUUGGUAA